UCCUAUCCAAAUACCCUUAGCACUCUAUUCGUACACGAACGCAACAAAUCAGGAAGGUGGGGAGGAUGGUUCGAUGGUGGCGAAUCUGUUGAGUAGGGGAGUAGUUCAACCCGUCAUACGCCGGCACCACUAAUUGCAUGACUGAUGGUCGGCGAUGUUGGUGGCGUAGUCGAUGAAGUGUUCUAUAGCGUAGUCGUAUCCACCGGCAUUCGAAAUCGGCGUUGGGGUUGUCGGCUGCUUCAACAUUCUCCCAAAACCCUUUCCGUCAUACUUUCACCCCUCCCGCCAGCUACUGUUCGUAGUAGUGGCAGUAUCCUCCCUCUUUAGCUGAAGAACCCUAGAACCAGCCACAGUCUUCGUUGUUGUCUCCAUUCGAUUAACGCUUGGAGCCAUCUUCGUUCCAUACCCGUUCCAGGUUCUUUUUUUUUCGUCUCUCACCAAAGAGGGUGGGAUUUAGGGCCUUCCCCAUUCCUCGCACAUCUCCACUCUUCCACCGCCCUCGACAUUAUCUGUUCAGAAUGACCACUAUAUCACCAAUCGGGAUUUCUAAAUAUGCGACGCCACCAGCGCUACCAGAUCAUCCAUCGGAACCCCUAGAAUAACCCAACUCAGUACCCUAAUCGCGAAACAUGAAUAUAAAGUCCAUCAUGUGCUCGAAUCUUCGUCAGCUUCGCCGCCGAGAGAGACAAAGAUGCAGAUCUUCGUGAUUCUUGCUGUUUACAACAUCCAGAAAGGUUUUACUCUUUUCUGUUCAUUAAAAUUAACACUUUAUGUCGAUUUGAUGAAUUAGACCUUAAUUGAUAACGUAUAGCAGAAUGACUUUUAGUUUAAUUGUUCAAAAUUAGCCGAUGAAGGUAUGGUCAAAGAAAUUGAUGUUCUUGUGCGAAAACCCUAACUUAUAGAUAUAGCAUGCUACCUGUUUGAUAAAGAUCCUCAACGAAUAAACGGUCAGAUGUACUACCACUCUUUCCUUCCUACUAUUAGAAAAAGAAUUGCAAGUUCCAAAUGUAGUGUCAAAUGAUGCAAUGUCAUCAAUUUCAGGCCUCGCACUGCCAUAUGCUAGCUUAUGUGUUUAAACUCCAGAACAAAAGAGAACGACAAAACGUGAUUUCAUCUGGUUUGGUUUGUACUGAAACUUUUGUUUGAGAUUUCUCAACGAUUGGUCUCAUAUUGCAAUCAGGAGACACACAUGUUCGACCACAGUUAAGAAGCAGCGAUGUUAGUGCUGAUGGUGCUGUGAUUUUGCAAUUAUCAGCCCUAAAACUUCUUAUUUUUUGCCAUAUAUCAAUGUUGAAGGUAUAUUGAUAUGUGUAUGCUUGGCAGUGGCAGGAAAGAAGGCAUUAUCCCAGGCACAAAGGAAGCCCUUUUCUUAAUCUUAGCAUUUCACUUCCUGCAUGAUAUUCUGAUAAUUCAAUGUUUCUUCUAUUUAGUAACAGUUAUAGGUGACAACAAGAAAUUUAGGACACUCGAAAAGUAAAUCUUGGAGAGAAAAUGGUAAGAAAGAGAAAGGUUAAAAAAGGUUAACCUGAAUUGUUUGCUGAAGAAAAGAGUCUCUAAAAGAACAGUGCAUGGGAUGAUUGCUAAUUUAGUCAUCUGAAAUGAAACCAUGAAAAAACAAACAUUACAUUUCACUAAAGUAGUAAAACUAAUGAAAAUAUUAAGUGUAAAAGAAACUUUUAUACAAUUUUGUAAGAUUUUAACACAAUUGGAAAUGAUCAUUUUCUUUAGCUUGCAUUUGCAUGAUUCGUCUCAAUUAUGAUAUUCAAUAACCACAGGGAAGAAUCACUAUCUGUUUGGUUUGAUGGAAUGGGAAUGGAAUAAGCAAGGUAAUGGAAUUUAAAGAAUUCCUUUGAUUUUGUCGACCAAACACAAAUUUUAUUGAAAUUUACCUUCCGUGAGACUUAUGUGCAAAAAUUGUGGAAGUUUCAUUGUCAGCUUUAAUAUGAAUCUAAUCUUUGAUUCAUUAAUUUUCUUUGUCUGUGACCCAGUUAUUAGCACAACAGAAUGAGCAAAGUAAAGAUGACAAGUUGCUGUGGGAACUACUUAAAAUGAAACAAAGAUGGCAACAACCCGAGAGUCCAUUUGGAGCGCAAGAGCUUCAUCCGGUUGGAAGCAGUACCAAACACCACCAUAAGUCAACAAUGGUCAACCUUUUUUUCCAAAUAACUAACUUCAUUACCAUUAGGCGCAUCAACAAUUCUUACCAGUUACAUACACUAAACAACAAUGUAGUUUGAAUUUACUUCUAUUUUUUCCUUUUUUUUUUCAAUUACUUUUGGAUGUCUUAAAUUUGGUAUUUCAUCCUCUUUCAGAAGUUUUGUUUGAAGCUGAAAGAAACAUCAAUAGACAACUAUUGAAUGGACUUUAUACUAUAAAUUCUAAUUCUGUCAAGUGUUCAA